rnacentral:rRNA from 1 species
AAAGCGUAAUAGCUCACUGGUCGAGUCGGCCUGCGCGGAAGAUGUAACGGGGCUAAACCAUGCACCGAAGCUGCGGCAGCGACACUGUGUGUUGUUGGGUAGGGGAGCGUUCUGUAAGCCUGUGAAGGUGGCCUGUGAGGGUUGCUGGAGGUAUCAGAAGUGCGAAUGCUGACAUAAGUAACGAUAAAGCGGGUGAAAAGCCCGCUCGCCGGAAGACCAAGGGUUCCUGUCCAACGUUAAUCGGGGCAGGGUGAGUCGACCCCUAAGGCGAGGCCGAAAGGCGUAGUCGAUGGGAAACGGGUUAAUAUUCCCGUACUUGGUGUUACUGCGAAGGGGGGACGGAGAAGGCUAUGUUGGCCGGGCGACGGUUGUCCCGGUUUAAGCGUGUAGGUGUGUGUUCCAGGUAAAUCCGGUUCACUUUAACACUGAGGCGUGACGACGAGGCACUACGGUGCUGAAGCAACAAAUGCCCUGCUUCCAGGAAAAGCCUCUAAGCAUCAGGUAACAUCAAAUCGUACCCCAAACCGACACAGGUGGUCAGGUAGAGAAUACCAAGGCGCUUGAGAGAACUCGGGUGAAGGAACUAGGCAAAAUGGUGCCGUAACUUCGGGAGAAGGCACGCUGACACGUAGGUGAAGUGAUUUACUCAUGGAGCUGAAGUCAGUCGAAGAUACCAGCUGGCUGCAACUGUUUAUUAAAAACACAGCACUGUGCAAACACGAAAGUGGACGUAUACGGUGUGACGCCUGCCCGGUGCCGGAAGGUUAAUUGAUGGGGUCAGCGCAAGCGAAGCUCCUGAUCGAAGCCCCGGUAAACGGCGGCCGUAACUAUAACGGUCCUAAGGUAGCGAAAUUCCUUGUCGGGUAAGUUCCGACCUGCACGAAUGGCGUAAUGAUGGCCAGGCUGUCUCCACCCGAGACUCAGUGAAAUUGAACUCGCUGUGAAGAUGCAGUGUACCCGCGGCAAGACGGAAAGACCCCGUGAACCUUUACUAUAGCUUGACACUGAACAUUGAGCCUUGAUGUGUAG